rnacentral:rRNA from 1 species
ACGAUCAGUAGGGGUUCUGAGAGGAAGGUCCCCCACAUUGGAACUGAGACACGGUCCAAACUCCUACGGGAGGCAGCAGUGAGGAAUAUUGGUCAAUGGACGGAAGUCUGAACCAGCCAAGUAGCGUGCAGGAUGACGGCCCUAUGGGUUGUAAACUGCUUUUGUAUGGGGAUAAAGUUAGGGACGUGUCCCUAUUUGCAGGUACCAUACGAAUAAGGACCGGCUAAUUCCGUGCCAGCAGCCGCGGUAAUACGGAAGGUCCAGGCGUUAUCCGGAUUUAUUGGGUUUAAAGGGAGCGUAGGCUGGAGAUUAAGUGUGUUGUGAAAUGUAGACGCUCAACGUCUGACUUGCAGCGCAUACUGGUUUCCUUGAGUACGCACAACGUUGGCGGAAUUCGUCGUGUAGCGGUGAAAUGCUUAGAUAUGACGAAGAACUCCGAUUGCGAAGGCAGCUGACGGGAGCGCAACUGACGCUUAAGCUCGAAGGUGCGGGUAUCAAACAGGAUUAGAUACCCUGGUAGUCCGCACAGUAAACGAUGGAUGCCCGCUGUUGGUACCUGGUAUCAGCGGCUAAGCGAAAGCAUUAAGCAUCCCACCUGGGGAGUACGCCGGCAACGGUGAAACUCAAAGGAAUUGACGGGGGCCCGCACAAGCGGAGGAACAUGUGGUUUAAUUCGAUGAUACGCGAGGAACCUUACCCGGGCUUGAAUUGCAGAGGAAGGAUUUAGAGAUAAUGACGCCCUUCGGGGUCUCUGUGAAGGUGCUGCAUGGUUGUCGUCAGCUCGUGCCGUGAGGUGUCGGCUUAAGUGCCAUAACGAGCGCAACCCCUGUCUUUAGUUGCCAUCAGGUUAAGCUGGGCACUCUGGAGAUACUGCCACCGUAAGGUGUGAGGAAGGUGGGGAUGACGUCAAAUCAGCACGGCCCUUACGUCCGGGGCUACACACGUGUUACAAUGGGGGGUACAGAAGGCCGCUACCCGGCGACGGGAUGCUAAUCUUUAAAACCUCUCUCAGUUCGGAUCGGAGUCUGCAACUCGACUCCGUGAAGCUGGAUUCGCUAGUAAUCGCGCAUCAGCCAUGGCGCGGUGAAUACGUUCCCGGGCCUUGUACACACCGCCCGUCAAGCCAUGAAAGCCGGGGGUGCCUGAAGUCCGUGACCGCAAGGAUCGGCCUAGGGCAAAACUGGUGAUUGGGGCUAAGUCGUAACAAGGUAGCCGUACCGGAAGGUGCGGCUG